CCUACGGGCGGCAGCAGUGGGGGAUAUUGCACAAUGGGGGGAACCCUGAUGCAGCGACGCCGCGUGGGUGAAGGAGUGCUUCGGCAUGUAAAGCCCUAUCGGCAGGGAAGAAGCAAGACGGUACCUGACUAAGAAGCCCCGGCUAACUACGUGCCAGCAGCCGCGGUAAUACGUAGGGGGCGAGCGUGAUCCGGAUUAACUGGGUGUAAAGGGAGCGUAGACGGCCAGGCAAGCAAGGGGUGAAAGCCCGGGGCCCAACCCCGGGACUGCCCUUGGAACUGUGCGGCUAGAGUGCGGGAGGGGCAGGCGGAAUUCCUGGUGUAGCGGUGAAAUGCGUAGAUAUCAGGAGGAACACCGGCGGCGAAGGCGGCCUGCUGGACCGCGACUGACGUUGAGGCUCGAAAGCGUGGGGAGCGAACAGGAUUAGAUACCCUGGUAGUC
rnacentral:rRNA from 1 species